rnacentral:rRNA from 1 species
AGAUUGAACGCUGGCGGCAUGCCUUACACAUGCAAGUCGAACGGUAGAGUAGCAAUACUCGAGAGUGGCGAACGGGUGAGUAAUAUAUCGGAACGUGCCCAGUCGUGGGGGAUAACGUAGAGAAAUUUACGCUAAUACCGCAUACGAUCUACGGAUGAAAGCGGGGGAUCGCAAGACCUCGCGCGAUUGGAGCGGCUGAUAUCAGAUUAGGUUGUUGGUGAGGUAAAAGCUCACCAAGCCGACGAUCUGUAGCUGGUUUGAGAGAACGACCAGCCACACUGGGACUGAGACACGGCCCAGACUCCGUACGGGAGCAGCAGUGGGGAAUUUGGACAAGUGGGACGUAAAG